rnacentral:rRNA from 1 species
UUGAACGCUGGCGGCGUGCUAACACAUGCAAGUCGAACGCGAAAGGGACUUCGGUCCUGAGUAAAGUGGCGCACGGGUGAGUAACGCGUGGAUAAUCUGCCCUUAUGAUCGGGAUAACAGUUGGAAACGGCUGCUAAUACCGGAUACGCUCAAAAUGAACUUUUUGAGGAAAGAUGGCCUCUGCUUGCAUGCUAUCACGUAAGGAUGAGUCCGCGUCCCAUUAGCUUGUUGGCGGGGUAACGGCCCACCAAGGCAACGAUGGGUAGCCGAUUUGAGAGGAUGAUCGGCCACACUGGAACUGAAACACGGUCCAGACUCCUACGGGAGGCAGCAGUGGGGAAUAUUGCGCAAUGGGCGAAAGCCUGACGCAGCGACGCCGCGUGAGGGAUGAAAGGUUUUCGGAUCGUAAACCUCUGUCAGAAGGGAAGAAACUACGUUGUGCUAAUCAGCAGCGUACUGACGGUACCUUCAAAGGAAGCACCGGCUAACUCCGUGCCAGCAGCUGC